CCUACGGGUGGCAGCAGUGAGGAAUAUUGGUCAAUGGGCUGACGCCUGAACCAGCCAAGUCGCGUGAGGGAAGACUGCCCUAUGGGUUGUAAACCUCUUUUGUCAGGGAGCAACGUCGGCUACGUGUAGCCGGACUGAGAGUACCUGAAGACAAAGCACCGGCGAACUCCGUGCCAGCAGCCGCGGAAAUACGGAGGAUGCGAGCGUUACCCGGAUUUAUUGGGUUUAAAGGGUGCGUAGGCGGACUGCCAAGUCAGCGGGAAAAUCGCGGGGCUAACCCUCGCUCCGCCGUUGAAACUGGCGGUCUUGAGUAGGCGAGAAGUAUGCGGAAUGCGUGGUGUAGCGGUGAAAUGCAUAGAUAUCACGCAGAACUCCGAUGGCGAAGGCAGCAUACCGGCGCCCAACUGACGCUGAGGCACGAAAGCGUGGGUAGCGAACAGGAUUAGAUACCCCGGUAGUC
rnacentral:rRNA from 1 species